rnacentral:rRNA from 1 species
GGGUUGUGAGGUUAAGCGACUAAGCGUACACGGUGGAUGCCCUGGCAGUCAGAGGCGAUGAAGGACGUGCUAAUCUGCGAUAAGCGUCGGUAAGGUGAUAUGAACCGUUAUAACCGGCGAUUUCCGAAUGGGGAAACCCAGUGUGAUUCGUCACACUAUCAUUAACUGAAUCCAUAGGUUAAUGAGGCGAACCGGGGGAACUGAAACAUCUAAGUACCCCGAGGAAAAGAAAUCAACCGAGAUUCCCCCAGUAGCGGCGAGCGAACGGGGAGGAGCCCAGAGCCUGAAUCAGUGUGU